CCCCUAGAUGUUCAGGGCCGCACGCGCGCUACACUGAACAGUUCAACAAGUCUUAACCUUGGCCGAUAGGUCUGGGUAAUCUUUGAACGCUGUUCGUGAUUGGGAUAGACCUUUGCAAUUAUGGGUCUUCAACGAGGAAUUCCUAGUAAACGCAAGUCAUCAGCUUGCAUUGAUUACGUCCCUGCCCUUUGUACACACCGCCCGUCGCACCUACCGAUUGAAUGGUCCGGUGAAAUCUCGGGACGGCGGCUUGGUCGCUUGCGUCCGACUGCUGAAACUUGAUUAAACCAUAUCAUUUAGAGGAAGGUGAAGUCGUANCA
rnacentral:rRNA from 1 species